CCUACGGGUGGCUGCAGUGGGGAAUAUUGCACAAUGGGCGCAAGCCUGAUGCAGCCAUGCCACGUGUGUGAAGAAGGCCUUCGGGUUGUAAAGCACUUUCAGCGGGGAGGAAGGCGUUAAGGUUAAUAACCUUGGCGAUUGACGUUACCCGCAGAAGAAGCACCGGCUAACUCCGUGCCAGCAGCCGCGGUAAUACGGAGGGUGCAAGCGUUAAUCGGAAUUACUGGGCGUAAAGCGCACGCAGGCGGUCUGUCAAGUCGGAUGUGAAAUCCCCGGGCUCAACCUGGGAACUGCAUUCGAAACUGGCAGGCUAGAGUCUUGUAGAGGGGGGUAGAAUUCCAGGUGUAGCGGUGAAAUGCGUAGAGAUCUGGAGGAAUACCGGUGGCGAAGGCGGCCCCCUGGACAAAGACUGACGCUCAGGUGCGAAAGCGUGGGGAGCAAACAGGAUUAGAUACCCGAGUAGUC
rnacentral:rRNA from 1 species